GUGAGGAAUUUUCCGCAAUGGGCGAAAGCCUGACGGAGCAAUGCCGCGUGAAGGAUGAAGGCCUAUGGGUUGUAAACUUCUUUUCUCAGAAAAGAAUUAUGACGGUAUCUGAGGAAUAAGCAUCGGCUAACUCUGUGCCAGCAGCCGCGGUAAGACAGAGGAUGCAAGCGUUAUCCGGAAUGAUUGGGCGUAAAGCGUCUGUAGGUUGUUUAAAAAGUAUUCUGUCAAAGAUUAGGGCUUAAACCUAGAUAGGCAGAAUAAACUUUUAAGCUAGAGUUUGGUAGAGGCAGAGGGAAUUCCCGGUGGAGCGGUGAAAUGCGUAGAUAUCGGGAGGAACACCAAAGGCGAAGGCACUCUGCUGGGCCAAUACUAACACUGAGAGACGAAAGCGAGGGGAGCAAAUGGGAUUAGAUACCCGUGUAGUCC
rnacentral:rRNA from 1 species